CUACGGGGCGCAGCAGCAAGGAAUUUUCGGCAAUGGGCGCAAGCCUGACCGAGCAACGCCGCGUGGAGGAUGACGGCUCUUGGGUUGUAAACUCCUUUUGGGGGGGACGAUAAUGACGGUACCCUCCGAAUCAGGCCCGGCUAACUACGUGCCAGCAGCCGCGGUAAUACGUAGGGGCCAAGCGUUGUCCGGAAUUACUGGGCGUAAAGCGUGGGUAGGUGGUCGGUGAUGUGCCGCGUGAAAGCGCCGGAGUAAUGCCGGCGAGGUCGCGGUAGACACACGGACUAGAGGCUCGCAGAGGAACGUGGAAUUCCCGGUGUAGUGGUGAAAUGCGUAGAUAUCGGGAGGAACACCAGUGGCGCAAGCGGCGUUCUGGGCGAGACCUGACACUGAGCCACGACGGCGUGGGGAGCAAACAGGAUUAGAUACCCGUGUAGUC
rnacentral:rRNA from 1 species